AGAGCCUAAAUUGGAUGAAAAAAUACAAGAGCAGAUACCUGCCAAAGAUUUCAAAAUGGAAGUUUUGCCUCUGAAAAUAUGGACUGGGAAAAGAAAACAAAGCAUGCAGGAAAGUUAAAAGCUCCAAACAAGGAUGUUCUUCUGUCAACUUGGGCUUCUUGUAAACCAUCAGAUGUUGGUUUGCCAUAAACCAUCAGUUUUAUGGCAAAGGUAUCAGACUUCAUAAAUUUCAUGGAUUCUAAGUGACUGAAUCCUGAGGUCAAAUGAAACAAAAAUCCUACAGGUUUAUCAUAAACACUCAUAUACUAAGAAUUUA